AUUGCGAUGAUGUGAAUUCCUCACUGAAUCACACCUUGUAAGUGCAAAUACAUGAGCUUUUUAACCCUGAGCAA
rnacentral:snoRNA from 1 species